rnacentral:rRNA from 1 species
UACAGAGGGUGCGAGCGUUGUCCGGAAUCACUGGGCGUAAAGGGCGCGUAGGUGGCCCGACAAGUCCGUGGUGAAAGCUCGACGCUCAACGUCGAGUCGGCCAUGGAUACUGUUGGGCUGGAGCACUGUAGAGGCUCAUGGAAUUCCGGGUGUAGCGGUGGAAUGCGUAGAGAUCCGGAACGAACACCGGUGGCGAAGGCGGUGAGCGUGG